GAGUGGCGAACUGGUGAGUAACACGUGGGAAACCUGCCCAGAAGCGGGGGAUAACACCUGGAAACAGAUGCUAAUACCGCAUAACAACUUGGACCGCAUGGUCCGAGUUUGAAAGAUGGCUUCGGCUAUCACUUUUGGAUGGUCCCGCGGCGUAUUAGCUAGAUGGUGGGGUAACGGCUCACCAUGGCAAUGAUACGUAGCCGACCUGAGAGGGUAAUCGGCCACAUUGGGACUGAGACACGGCCCAAACUCCUACGGGAGGCAGCAGUAGGGAAUCUUCCACAAUGGACGAAAGUCUGAUGGAGCAACGCCGCGUGAGUGAAGAAGGGUUUCGGCUCGUAAAACUCUGUUGUUAAAGAAGAACAUAUCUGAGAGUAACUGUUCAGGUAUUGACGGUAUUUAACCAGAAAGCCACGGCUAACUACGUGCCAGCAGCCGCGGUAAUACGUAGGUGGCAAGCGUUGUCCGGAUUUAUUGGGCGUAAAGCGAGCGCAGGCGGUUUUUUAAGUCUGAUGUGAAAGCCUUCGGCUCAACCGAAGAAGUGCAUCGGAAACUGGGAAACUUGAGUGCAGAAGAGGACAGUGGAACUCCAUGUGUAGCGGUGAAAUGCGUAGAUAUAUGGAAGAACACCAGUGGCGAAGGCGGCUGUCUGGUCUGUAACUGACGCUGAGGCUCGAAAGUAUGGGUAGCAAACAGGAUUAGAUACCCUGGUAGUCCAUACCGUAAACGAUGAAUGCUAAGUGUUGGAGGGUUUCCGCCCUUCAGUGCUGCAGCUAACGCAUUAAGCAUUCCGCCUGGGGAGUACGGCCGCAAGGCUGAAACUCAAAGGAAUUGACGGGGGCCCGCACAAGCGGUGGAGCAUGUGGUUUAAUUCGAAGCUACGCGAAGAACCUUACCAGGUCUUGACAUACUAUGCAAUCUAAGAGAUUAGACGUUCCCUUCGGGGACAUGGAUACAGGUGGUGCAUGGUUGUCGUCAGCUCGUGUCGUGAGAUGUUGGGUUAAGUCCCGCAACGAGCGCAACCCUUAUUAUCAGUUGCCAGCAUUAAGUUGGGCACUCUGGUGAGACUGCCGGUGACAAACCGGAGGAAGGUGGGGAUGACGUCAAAUCAUCAUGCCCCUUAUGACCUGGGCUACACACGUGCUACAAUGGAUGGUACAACGAGUUGCGAACUCGCGAGAGUAAGCUAAUCUCUUAAAGCCAUUCUCAGUUCGGAUUGUAGGCUGCAACUCGCCUACAUGAAGUCGGAAUCGCUAGUAAUCGCGGAUCAGCAUGCCGCGGUGAAUACGUUCCCGGGCCUUGUACACACCGCCCGUCACACCAUGAGAGUUUGUAACACCCAAAGUCG
rnacentral:rRNA from 1 species